rnacentral:rRNA from 1 species
AGCGAACGCUGGCGGCGUGCCUAACACAUGCAAGUCGAACGUGAAAAGGGGCAACCCUGAGUAAAGUGGCGUACGGGUGAGUAACACGUAGGUAAUCUACCCUAAAGUUUGGAAUAACCUGCCGAAAGGCGGGCUAAUACUAGAUAGAGCGACGGAAUCCGUAAUUGGGUUUUUCGGGAAAGGGAGGGAGCAAUCCCCUUCGCUUUAGGAUGAGCCUGCGUCCCAUUAGCUAGUUGGUAAGGUAAUGGCUUACCAAGGCAAGGAUGGGUAGCUGGUCUGAGAGGAUGAUCAGCCACACUGGAACUGAAACACGGUCCAGACUCCUACGGGUGGCUG